UAUUUAUAUGAGAGUUUGAUCCUGGCUCAGGAUGAACGCUGGCGGCGUGCCUAAUACAUGCAAGUCGAACGAGUUCUGAUUAUUGAAAGGUGCUUGCAUCUUGAUUUAA
rnacentral:rRNA from 1 species